CCUACGGGAGGCAGCAGUGAGGAAUAUUGGUCAAUGGACGAGAGUCUGAACCAGCCAAGUAGCGUGAAGGAUGACUGCCCUAUGGGUUGUAAACUUCUUUUAUAAAGGAAUAAAACGAGGCACGUGUGCCUUUUUGCAUGUACUUUAUGAAUAAGGAUCGGCUAACUCCGUGCCAGCAGCCGCGGUAAUACGGAGGAUCCGAGCGUUAUCCGGAUUUAUUGGGUUUAAAGGGAGCGUAGAUGGGUUGUUAAGUCAGUUGUGAAAGUUUGCGGCUCAACCGUAAAAUUGCAAUUGAUACUGGCAGUCGUGAGUACAGUUGAGGUAGGCGGAAUUCGUGGUGUAGCGGUGAAAUGCUUAGAUAUCACGAAGAACCACGAUUGCGAAGGCAGCUUACUAAACUGUGACUGACAUUGAUGCUCGAAAGUGUGGGUAUCAAACAGGAUUAGAUACCCGAGUAGUC
rnacentral:rRNA from 1 species